rnacentral:rRNA from 1 species
UACACUCCCAAACCCAAUGUGAACGUUACCAAACUGUUGCCUCGGCGGGAUCUCUGCCCCGGGUGCGUCGCAGCCCCGGACCAAGGCGCCCGCCGGAGGACCAACCAAAACUCUUAUUGUAUACCCCCUCGCGGGUUUUUUUAUAAUCUGAGCCUUCUCGGCGCCUCUCGUAGGCGUUUCGAAAAUGAAUCAAAACUUUCAACAACGGAUCUCUUGGUUCUGGCAUCGAUGAAGAACGCAGCGAAAUGCGAUAAGUAAUGUGAAUUGCAGAAUUCAGUGAAUCAUCGAAUCUUUGAACGCACAUUGCGCCCGCCAGUAUUCUGGCGGGCAUGCCUGUCCGAGCGUCAUUUCAACCCUCGAACCCCUCCGGGGGGUCGGCGUUGGGGAUCGGCCCUGCCUUGGCGGUGGCCGUCUCCGAAAUACAGUGGCGGUCUCGCCGCAGCCUCUCCUGCGCAGUAGUUUGCACACUCGCAUCGGGAGCGCGGCGCGUCCACAGCCGUUAAACACCCAACUUCUGAAAUGUUGACCUCGGAUCAGGUAGGAAUACCCGCUGAACUUAAGCAUAUCAAUAAGCGGAGGAA